rnacentral:lncRNA from 1 species
UCAGCUCCCCAAUCUGUUUUGUCUUCAUAACCACAACUGAUGACAUGAAUCGCUUCUUUCAACAGAGUUUCAGGUGCUGCAGACUGAGGGACGCCUCCAUUUUCCAUAAGUGUAGAUGCAACAAACACAGCCGAUUGUCCAAAUCUUUUUUCAAGCGACAUUUGUGACAUAAGCAAUGAUUUCUCAUCAUCAAAUCCAGCACCUGAAUAUAUACAGAUAUAAUGAAUCAAAUCAAGAAAAAUGGAAAAACUAUAUACAUAAGAUGAUCAUACAAUAUACAUACCUUCAACUCCUUCUUCUAUAUCUUCCAGGUUGAAAAUUGGCACAGUGGGGUCAACGUUUUUGUUUGAUUUCUUUUUAUCUGAUCCCUUUUUGCUUGAUUUGGAACUCUUCUUUCGUGAUCCACCAAAGCAAGAAGAAAAGAAGCCAUCUUCUCUCUUCUUCUUAGGCUUAAGUGGAGGUUCAUAACCAUAUAGAGCUGUUCUAUUGAACACACAUCCAGUUCCCACAUAAACCGGACCUUGAAUCCCAUCUAAACCUCUCAAGUUAAUCUGUUCAUCAAACAAAUUAAAAACAAUCAAUCAAAUGCGGAAAUAUAGAUUAACUGAUUAAAAAAGAUGAAAGAACUCACAUCAAAGAACACUGUGUUUCUGUUAGCAUAUCGAUCGUUUCUAUCAAUACCAUCAAAUCUCUGUGGAAACUGUACAUAACAUACGUAUUUUCCAAGAUUUGGAUCCAUCAUAAAACACAUAGCUUCUCUAAUAGCCUUACUGUUGUUAAUGUAAUGAUCACAAUCAAGAUUCAACAAAAACGGGCCAUUUGUAAGAACUGCAGAUACUCGAACCUGCAAUCAACAAGAUUCAAAUCCAUCUAUAUAAGUCAAUAUUCAUGUCAAAACGAUUAAAACUUGAAUUGAAUUUGUGUAAAACUACGCACAAGGGAAUUCAUGGCACCAGCUUUCUUGUGAUGUUGAAAACCUGGACGCUUUUCUCUUGAAACAUAAACCAAUCUUGGCAACUCAUUACCCUCACUAUCAAGCCCUCCAUUUUGACCCAAGAAAACCUGAAAAAAAAAGUAUAUUUAUAAUUAAUUAGACCUGAAUUAUCCCAAAAAAAAAGUAAAAAUGAUUGAAGAGAUUAAUUAACCUGAAUCAUUCCUGGAUGAUCCCUAGUGUUAUUUCCAGGCCAAGGAGUUCCAUCCUGCAUAAUCCAACCUUCAUCAGGGACUUUCUGAGCUUUUGCAACAAGACCAUUUACACGAAUUUUAAACUCUUCAUAUUCUCUCUUCAUAGCUCUUCGAUCUUUAACAAAAGUUGGUUGAAUUUUAUCUUUCAAGUAGUCAAUCUUCUGGUUGAAAUACCAUUCAGGAGCACGGGGCUCAAUGUUGUAUUUCUUGCAAAAAGGAACCCAUUUUCUUGCAAACUCAGAUGUUUCUGAUAGUGACUCAAACGACAGCAUGGCAGCCCCGUCAUCAGACACAUAACAUGACACCUUGUCAACCGGGUAGUCAACCGCCAGGAUGGACAGCACCGUGUUGGCUGUGACAAGUGGCGGCUCCUUCAACGGGUCCACAGUACUCACAAAUAUAUCAACAGCAGCUAGUUGUGAUGGCUCCCCUUCUCUCUCAUACCUAUCAAAUAUAAUAAUUAAUCCAUGUUUUUUCUUUCUUUCUUUAAAAGGGUAUCAAGAUCAUACAUUCAUGUUACCUUAGGGAUAGCCGAUCAAGAUAUGUUUCACGAUUAAUUGGAAGCCAUUUAGGGAACUGAUCCAAAAUCCAAGAAAAAGCAAACCAAAUCUCACAAAUAACAGAGAGUAACCAUAAUGGAUAUGCAUUUGUCACAGGGUUUGUUAUUCGAUAGUGCAAAAAGAUGCAAAGAAUAACCAGCCGAAGAACAAUGACCAUUCUGUAUGGAUUUAUUCUUGAUGAUGGAAUGGAGACUUUUCUUGAAAGUGGUUGUCUGGCUUCAUCGUUCCUUUACAAAAACAACACACAUCAUAUUAUAUUAAUCAGUCAAGCAAAAUCUCAUAUUGGAUGAUAUGAAAAAAGUCAAAAACCAAGAAAUAAAGAGGGAACUUACAGCAAUGAAUCAUCAACUAACACAUCUGUAUUGGCAUCAAUGUCUUGACCUCUUUCAGAAGCAGGGCGACUUGUUGUCAUUGGAACUACAUUCUUGUCUUGUUUCAUUUUCCACCCAUCAACUCUCUCUUUCCAUGCAACAUUUCCUAGUCCUGUAGAUCCGUAAUCUCUCACAGGGUCCACAACUCUAACAUUGGCUGCAAACAAAACAAAACCCUGUUUUUAGAAGUUGGAAAGUUUGUGAAUUAUGAGUUAUUAAUAUUAUUAAAGCAUAAAAGACAUACGGGAUUGAUUCGCAUAUGCAGAAUAAGGGAGUGAAUGUGUUAGUCUUUCUCCACCAGGUGGAGGUGAAGACACUGAAAGGCGUUGUGGAGAAGCUGCAGACAACUCACCAGAAACCUGAAAAACAAGCAAGACAUGAAAAGUAUGCUCAAAAUUACAGAUUUGCCACAAUGUAGACAUGAAUAGGAUGAAAAAGCCAAGUCAAGUGAUGUAUGUACCUCUUGUCCACUGGUGAGUAAAGGUAUGUGGUUAUGAGAGACCUCUUUAUCAUAAUUUGGAGUAUUAGUGUCUUCUCCUCUUCCAUAUGUCAUGUGCCAGCUCAGCAUUCGCUCUGCAGUCUUCUGCUUCUCACUUUGGGUUUGUGAAGAGAAGGGGAAAUUAGUAGUUUCUUCAUCAGUGUCAACAUCCUCCUCUUUGUCUCCAGCAAU